rnacentral:rRNA from 1 species
GACGAACGCUGGCGGCGUGCUUAACACAUGCAAGUCGAACGGAAAGGCCUGCUUUCCCUUGUGGUUUGCGGGUACUCGAGUGGCGAACGGGUGAGUAACACGUGAGUGAUCUGCCCCCAACUUGGGUAUAAGCCUGGGAAACUGGGUCUAAUUCCCGAUAGGACUGCAGGGUGGUGCCUGUGGUGGAAAACGAUUUUCUAGUGGUUGGGGAUGAGCUCGCGGCCUAUCAGCUUGUUGGUGGGGUAAUGGCCUACCAAGGCGGCGACGGGGAGCCGGCCUGAGAGGGUGGACGGCCACAUUGGGACUGGGAUACGGCCCAGACUCCUACGGGAGGCAGCAGUGGGGAAAAUUGCACCAUGGGCGGAAGCCUGAUGCAGCGACGCGGCGUGGAGGAUGACGGGCUUCGGGUUGUAAACUCCUUUCGACCGCGAGGAAGCCACCUGGUUGGAAGGGUGGUGACGGUAGUGGUAGAAGAAGCACCGGCUAACUACGUG